rnacentral:lncRNA from 1 species
UAGGUAAAAAGAGAAGAGAAAGACAUUCUUGAUUUUGGUGACUAGAGUUGUAGAUGCUGGAAGCUUUGCCACUAACAUUGAUGAACCAGAUGCAUGUCACCAGCCCAUCACGGGCACCAUGGGCCGGCACUGCCACGUUUUCCAAGGAACCUGCCAGAGCUCCUGCGGAAGCUGCUCCUCGGGCGAUGGAGUCCCUUUGCUGCUAGGCCCUUCUUCAGUCACCACAGGAUGCCUG